AACUACCCUUUAACUUUGCUAUCCUCCAUAACCUAGAACCUAGAGCAACUAGUGCAACACCCUACUUGUAUUCCUGACCAUCUGAUGUAUUUUUUUUCUUGCAGGGUCGGACGACUUGAGCCUCUCCCAGUCCCAGUUUUCAUUGUUGUGGGUGAUCUCUUCUGUGAUGUUAAUCCUUCUCGUGUGUUCCCCACACACAGUCUCCAGUGUUGUAGCUGAAAGAAGUUCCAGCAGCUGAUGGAGCAGGAGGAAGCAGGUUUGGUGUGUUUGGGUCUCAACCGAGAUGACUGGUUUGAGUUCCUGGCUGUGGAAUGACUUGGUCUUUUUUUUUUUUUAGUGCUAUAAUCCCCAUGCUAAGAUAGCCUCAGCCAUCAUGGUGUUAGUAAUUUUACUGAAAACCCUUGUAUAUUUGGGAAAAAAGCACUUGUAUUACUAUGGGCUCAUGUAGUCUUGUUUGUGAAAUAAAGGACAGUGUUGGCUAAUAAUUCACAUGAGCCCAUGCUGGCAAAUGAAAAAGGAUAAGAUGAGGGAUUUCAAGCAGAUACUAAAUGAUGACACAUGGGCUAGGUAGGGUGUGAACAUGUGGAGAGAUGCAGUGUGCAUUGGAUAUGGAUAUGUUGGCUAUCUUUUUUGUUUCUGGAUAUGUUUCUUUUUUUUAUUUUAUUGAUUUUUUUUUGGAUAUGUUGGGUUUUUGUUUUAAGUGUGGAUGUAGAAGUUGGAGAAAUAGGACAUGAAGGAUAUAAAUAUGCUUUAUUAUACCUCAAAGACUUUGGAGAAUGGCAGACUGCUUCAUAACCCAGAGGAAGACAUUGCUUGGCAAUCUUUAU